CGAAAGCCUGACGGAGCAACGCCGCGUGUGGGAAGAAGGCUCUUGGGCUGUCAACCACUUUUCUCAGGGAAGAAGUUCUGACGGUACCUGAGGAAUCAGCCUCGGCUAACUCCGUGCCAGCAGCCGCGGUAAUACGGAGGAGGCAAGCGUUAUUCGGAAUUAUUGGGCGUAAAGCGUCCGCAGGGGGCUCAUCAAGUCUGCUGUCAAAGACCGAGGCUCAACCUCGGGUCGGCAGUGGAAACUGGAUAGCUAGAGGUCGGUAGGGGCAAAGGGAAUUCCCAGUGUAGCGGUGAAAUGCGUAGAUAUUGGGAAGAACACCGGUGGCGAAAGCGCUCUACUGGGUCGCACCUGACCCUCAGGGACGAAAGCUAAGGUAGCG
rnacentral:rRNA from 1 species